rnacentral:rRNA from 1 species
GACGAACGCUGGCGGCGUGCUUAACACAUGCAAGUCGAACGGGCCCGCUCUCUUUUUUGGGGGUGGGUUGAGUGGCGAACGGGUGAGUAUCACGUGAGUAACCUGCCCCCUGCUCCUGGAUAACUGCUUGAAAGGGCGGCUAAUACGGGGUGUGCCGGCUGGUCCGCAUGGGCCUGGUCGGGAUAGUUUCAUCUUCGGGUGUUUCGGUGGGGGAUGGGCUCGCGGCCUAUCAGCUUGUUGGUGGGGUGAUGGCCCACCAAGGCGGUCACGGGUAGCCGGCCUGAGAGGGUGGGCGGCCACACUGGGACUGAGACACGGCCCAGACUCCUGCGGGAGGCAGCAGUGGGGGGUAUUGCACAAUGGGCGGAAGCCUGAUGCAGCGACGUCGCGUGAGGGAUGGAGGCCUUCGGGUUGUGAACCUCUUUCUCCGGUGGUGAAGGCCCUGUCCGUUGCGGCGGGGUUGACGGUAGCCGGGUAUGAAGCGCCGGCUAACUACGUG